AAAGGAUAUAUUGCCCCAGGUGCAUAUGCAGUUUGUGUUUUUAUCGUACAUUUUUAACUACUAAUGUACUCUUCAAAAUAUAUGUAUUUGCAUAUAUACCAUGUAAUGCUUUUUGAGAUAGUCCAUACUUGCGUAUACCUUCUAAACUUUCUGUCACAAAGGUUGAUAUCCAGCAAAGUGAGACCGAUGAUGAUUUCAGGAUUUAGCUCUCUGA
rnacentral:lncRNA from 1 species